ensembl:lncRNA
GUCUUUGAUGAAUCGCUUUGUGUGGAUUUAUUGUAUUUAUAUAAUAUACAUAUGUGUUUCAAACUCAUAAUUCUUUGCUUCAAGUUUCCUCCCUUUACUCGUCCAUGAACUGAACAUAAAAACAAACGACAGCAGGGAAUCAACCUGUUGUUUGGGAAGCGCGCUGAUCUUUUUCUUACAUUUUAUAUAACAGCCAAUCGAUUAAUACAUAGAUUCAAAUCGGUCGUCGUACCAUUCUGACACAAACACACAAAGCCAGCCUCUAAAAGGAAGUGACCUCUACUUCCUCUAAAAACGCAGCCAGGCGACACGCAGGAGGGAGUUUCUACAGCCUCCGGCGAAACCAAAAACAAGUGCAAGACAAAACCACCGUGACGCUCGUGACCUGCAGCUCGAAGCAGGAAGAGGGUUUUUUUCUUUUCUUUUCAGCAGAAGCGACGACGACGACGUCACGCGGCUUCAGGUGAGGAGGGGAGGGCGGGGCCGCGACCAAAUAUGGGAGGAGCAAGCGCAGGUGGACGUGCUGCGGAGAGUCCCGCCGCGGGGACAUCUGGCUCGCCUCACACGCUGGAAACAGAGCUCUUGAGGAGGUUCGAACCACUGGAUUACGCGAGUUCUCGAACCAUGGCAACACUCCCAAGAACACAGAUGCCUCCCAGCGGCCAGCUGAUUUCCGUACCUCACAAGGAUACAAUGCGUCUGCUGGAGGUCUACGUCAAGCGCAGCCUCAGCCUCAACGACGGGGCGCUGGGCAGCAAGAGGGCCGGCGGGAAAGAAAAAUGGGUGACCAUGCCGACGAAGCUAAGACGACAUUCCAGCGACCCGUCGCUUCACCUGGCCGAGGGGUCGGAACAGCAAAGCGGCCCGUGUUCGGCAGCCGAACCCGCCCCGGACCGGCCCGAGGCUUGUCCGGAGGAACCCGAGAAAACGGUGAAAAAGCCCAAGAAGAACAAGAAGCCCUCUCUGUGGAAAAGCUUCCUGGGUAUUUUCUCCCGGAGGCCUAGCGAGGAGAAAGACGAAGAGCAGGACGGCGCGUCGGAGAUGGCCGAGGGCCCCUCGGCGGCGGCGGCGGCCUCCGACGACACGACCACCUGCCUGCCCACAAUUCAGGUCUCUGCACAGAAGAAGAAAUCGUCGAGGAGUAAAUCCCUCAGGAGAAGGUUCUCCAAAAGGCGAUCGCUGACGAAAAUAAACAAACUCAGUAAAGACGUCAACCACGCCGACAUCACGCGGGUCGAAGCUGUGGAAUCGACGUAUCACUACUACGAGACGGUGUCACAGGAGCUGGAGAAAAUUGUCCACGAGGUUCAGGAAAACGAGGAAGUUGUCCCCCUCUCUGAUGUGGAGGUAAUGAACAGGAUCAUUGCCUUGACGAAGGAGGAGGGUGACGCCAUAGAUUGCAAGCUGAGAGACAACCCCACGCUGAGCAACUUCUUCAACGGGAUGUCGUACUCCGCCUUCCAGAAGUUGGCCGACGCCUACCUGGAGACGGAGGCGACGCCGACCCAUAACCCUCCCACCGUCCUGCCGACGGCACCCGAGCUGGUCAAGUUGGCCUUCACGCUGGACUUCACGGCCCGGAUAGCCGGGCUCUCCAGACAGAACGUGGGACACAUCACCGGCCUGGGGAACCGCUAUCUCCACGACCGAUUCAAGUACCAGCAGGCGUGUUCCGAUCACCCAGGGUCGGACAGCGAGGACUGAGGCGCCUCCGUGCAACAACAAAAAAAUAAACGCUGCUGCAGCUGGAGGGCUGAACUUGUCUCUGCACCACAGAUGUGGUUAAGGAUGUGUUGCAACUCUUAAGUUUCUCCUUUUUUUUUUUUUUUUUUGAACACAAACACACAGACACUUGUUUUUCUCUUGCAUUCAUUUGCCUUUUUCGUGUUUUGUGAUAGAAGACGUUUUCUGAAGAAAAAAAGGACGUUGAACGGCUUUGCUAGAUUUAAAUCUUAAGUGGAAGAUGAAUUUAUAGAGCGAGCACAGUCUUAAUAAGUGGCAAUAUUUUUAAGAAAAGCGGCGUUUGCCAUUAAAAUGAAGAUGUUCUGCCCUUUUUAGAUUGAUUUGUAGUGAUACAAACCAGUAAUGUAAUAACCUUUGAUGUAUAUAAGAUACCUUUUGUGCAAUAUUUGUUUACAUUUGUAAGAUAUCAAAAUAAGCCAAAUAGAAGCUCCUCUGAAAUGUGACAUGCAAAUUGUGUUUGUUGAAUGCUGGCAUUCAUAUAACAUACACAAAAUAAAUAUUAAUUUAAUUAAAUAUUAAUUUAAAUA